CUUGUAAUGCAGCCACUGACAGUGACAAGCCUGUGUAAAUGCAGAGUCAAA
rnacentral:ribozyme from 2 species